rnacentral:rRNA from 1 species
AACGAACGCUGGCGGCAUGCCUAACACAUGCAAGUCGAACGAGACCUUCGGGUCUAGUGGCUCACGGGUGCGUAACGCGUGGGAACCUGCCCUUAUGUUCGGAAUAACUCCCCGAAAGGGGUGCUAAUACCGGGUAAUGUCUUCGGACCAAAGAUUUAUCGCCUUUGGAUGGGCCCGCGUUGGAUUAGCUAGUUGGUAGGGUAAAAGCCUACCAAGGCGACGAUCCAUAGCUGGUCUGAGAGGAUGAUCAGCCACACUGGGACUGAGACACGGCCCAGACUCCUACGGGAGGCAGCAGUGGGGAAUAUUGGACAAUGGGCGAAAGCCUGAUCCAGCAAUGCCGCGUGAGUGAUGAAGGCCUUAGGGUUGUAAAGCUCUUUUACCCGGGAUGAUAAUGACAGUACCGGGAGAAUAAGCUCCGGCUAACUCCGUG